rnacentral:lncRNA from 14 species
GCUUCUGGAGGGGUCUGGAUCACGGCUACUGAUGCAGAAUCAUCAGGCCAGCUGCUGGAGACAAGUGUUGUCAAUGGUAAUUGCUGAAGAAGCACUUAAGAUGCUAGUAUGAAAUUUGAAAGGUACAACAGCAGAGAAGAAAGCACCCACAGACUUCACCAGCUUGACUUUAUGGAGUGCACCAGAGUAACUGAACUGCAGCUUCAGUAUCUGCUGACUGUAAAAGGCUGUUCAAAUUUACAAGAAUGAAAUGAACUGAGUAGAAGUUUAAAACUUUUCUUAUUAAUUCAAAUCAUGCAAAUCCCUCACAGGAGAAACAUCCUGACUGUAACCAGAAACAGUCCUGCACCUAUUCGGUCUCUGAGUGAAGGAUUAAAAUAAUAAUAUUAAAACCAUAAUCCUGGCAUUUUGUUUAUUCAAAAGCUCAGUAGGAAAAAGUUGUUAUUAAAUUAAGAUCACAUUAGCAUGCUUACCAAAACAACACAUAAAGUAACAGAUA